rnacentral:rRNA from 1 species
UACGUAGGGUGCAAGCGUUAAUCGGAAUUACUGGGCGUAAAGCGUGCGCAGGCGGUUCUAUAAGUCUGCUGUGAAAGCCCCGGGCUCAACCUGGGAAUGGCAGUGGAUACUGGAGAGCUAGAGUGCGGUAGAGGGUAGUGGAAUUCCCGGUGUAGCAGUGAAAUGCGUAGAGAUCGGGAGGAACACCAGUGGCGAAGGCGGCUACCUGGACCAGCACUGACACUGAAGCACGAAAGCGUGGGGAGCAAACAGG